AUGGCCGGCGGCCGCCCGUUCCGGCCGUCCGCGCCUCGCCGCGCCGCGUUCGCCGCCCUGCUGACGCUCCUGCUCCUGGCGUCCCUCGCAUUCCUCCUCUCCUCCGGCCCCCCCGCCGCCUCCUCCCGCUCAUCCUCGGCAUCGUCCCCGCCGUCCCGCCUCGCCGCCAUCCGCCGCCACGCCGCGGACCACGCGGCCGUCCUUGCCGCCUACGCCGCCCACGCGCGCAAGCUCAAGGAGGCCUCGGCCGCGCAGUCGCUCUCCUUCUCCGCCCUCUCCUCCGACCUCUCCGCGCUCUCCUCCCGCCUCGCCUCCCGCGGCCCCCUCCCGGAGGACGCCCGCAGGCCCCUCGAGAAGGAGGCCCGCGAGCGCAUCAAGCACGCCCGCCUCCUCGCCGCCGACUCCAAGGAGGGCUUCGACACGCAGUCCAAGAUCCAGAAGCUCUCCGACACCGUCUUCGCCGUCGGCGAGCAGCUCGCCCGCUCCCGCCGCGCCGGCCGCAUGUCCUCCCGCAUCGCCGCUGGCUCCACCCCCAAGUCCCUGCAUUGCCUCGCCAUGCGCCUCCUCGAGGCCCGCCUCGCCAAGCCCUCCGCCUUCGCCGACGACCCCGACCCGUCCCCCGCGUUCGAGGACCCCUCGCUCUACCACUACGCCAUCUUCUCCGACAACGUCCUCGCCGUCUCCGUCGUGAUUGCCUCCGCGACGCGCGCCGCCGCUGACCCCUCGCGCCACGUCUUCCACGUGGUCACCGCGCCCAUGUACCUGCCUGCAUUCCGUGUCUGGUUCGCGCGCCGCCCGCCGCCGCUUGGCGUACACGUCCAGCUCAUCGCCUACUCCGACUUCCUGUUCCUGAACGCCUCAUUCUCGCCGGUGUUCAGGCAGAUUGAGGCCGGCAAGAGGGACGUGACGUUGGUCGAUUACCUGAGAUUCUACCUGCCGGACAUGUUCCCGGCGCUGCAGAGGGUAGUGCUCUUGGAAGAUGAUGUGGUGGUGCAGAAGGAUUUAGCGGCGCUUUGGCAUGUCGACUUGGAUGGGAAGGUUAAUGGCGCCGUGGAGAUGUGCUUCGGGGGGUUCAGGAGGUACAGGAAGUAUCUCAACUUCACGCAGGCCAUAGUACGUGACAGGUUUAGUCCCAGUGCCUGUGCGUGGGAGUAUGGGGUCAAUGUAUUUGAUCUCGAGGCAUGGCGACGGGAUGGCUGCACCGAGCUGUUUCAUCAAUACAUGGAGCUGAAUGUGGAUGGUGCACUCUGGGAUCCGACAUCUGUUCUACCAGCAGGGCUGAUGACAUUCUAUGGCAAUACCAAGCCACUUGAUAAGUCAUGGCAUGUGAUGGGUCUUGGAUAUAAUCCAAGCAUCAGCCCUGAGAUUAUCCGUGGUGCUGCAGUGAUACACUUCAAUGGAAAUAUGAAGCCAUGGCUUGAUGUUGCUUUCAACCAGUACAAGGCUCUGUGGACCAAGCAUGUAGACACUGAAAUGGAGUUCCUGACACUAUGUAACUUUGGUCUCUGA
rnacentral:rRNA from 1 species